AUCCGGUGGUUCUGCGUGGAAGGGCCAUCGCUCAACGGAUAAAAGCUACCCUGGGGAUAACAGGCUUAUCUCCCCCAAGAGUCCACAUCGACGGGGAGGUUUGGCACCUCGAUGUCGGCUCAUCACAUCCUGGGGCUGUAGUAGGUCCCAAGGGUUGGGCUGUUCGCCCAUUAAAGUGGUACGCGAGCUGGGUUCAGAACGUCGUGAGACAGUUCGGUCCCUAUCCGUCGCAGGCGUAGGAAAUUUGAGAAGACCUGUCCUUAGUACGAGAGGACCGGGAUGGACGUACCUCUGGUGUACCAGUUGUCCUGCCAAGGGCAUGGCUGGGUAGCUAUGUACGGAAUGGAUAAGCGCUGAAAGCAUCUAAGCGCGAAGCCAACUUCAAGAUAAGAUUUCCCACCGCAAGGGUAAGACCCCAGAAAGACUAUCUGGUUG
rnacentral:rRNA from 1 species